CCUACGGGAGGCAGCAGUCGAGAAUCAUUCACAAUGGGGGAAACCCUGAUGGUGCGACGCCGCGUGGGGGAAUGAAGGUCUUCGGAUUGUAAACCCCUGUCAUGUGGGAGCAAAUUAAAAAGAUAGUACCACAAGAGGAAGAGACGACUAACUCUGUGCCAGCAGCCGCGGUCAUACAGAGGUCUCAAGCGUUGUUCGGAAUCACUGGGCGUAAAGCGUGCGUAGGCUGUUUCGUAAGUCGUGUGUGAAAGGCGCGGGCUCAACCCGCGGACGGCACAUGAUACUGCGAGACUAGAGUAAUGGAGGGGGAAGCGGAAUUCUCGGUGUAGCAGUGAAAUGCGUAGAUAUCGAGAGGAACACUCGUGGCGAAGGCGGGUUCCUGGACAUUAACUGACGCUGAGGCACGAAGGCCAGGGGAGCGAAAGGGAUUAGAUACCCCAGUAGUC
rnacentral:rRNA from 1 species